rnacentral:rRNA from 1 species
GACGAACGCUGGCGGCGUGCUUAACACAUGCAAGUCGAACGGUAAGGCCCCAGCUUGCUGGGGUACACGAGUGGCGAACGGGUGAGUAACACGUGGGUGACCUGCCCCGCACUUCGGGAUAAGCCUGGGAAACUGGGUCUAAUACCGGAUAGGACCGCACCGUGAGGGUGUGGUGGAAAGUUUUUCGGUGUGGGAUGGGCCCGCGGCCUAUCAGCUUGUUGGUGGGGUAAUGGCCUACCAAGGCGGCGACGGGUAGCCGGCCUGAGAGGGUGGACGGCCACAUUGGGACUGAGACACGGCCCAGACUCCUACGGGAGGCAGCAGUGGGGAAUAUUGCACAAUGGGCGGAAGCCUGAUGCAGCGACGCCGCGUGGGGGAGGACGGCCUUCGGGUUGUAAACUCCUUUCACCAUCGACGAAGGUUUUCUGACGGUAGAUGGAGAAGAAGCACCGGCUAACUACGU